GAGCAGCACAACGUUUGCUGCCACACACAACACAACAGAGCUUGUGUUCGAAGCGAAGACGAAAGUAUUUCAUGCGCGCCGCAAUCAAAGUCGAGCCUCGAGAUACAAUCGCAAGUGUUGGUAAUAAAAUGUGCUACUAGGCGUAUACGUGAUAGUUUACACAAGAAGUAAAUCGAGUCGACACAAACACCAAGAACAAGCAAACAGCAAACAACAAAUUUGAGACGCUUUCUGCAUGGCAAAAUGAAUACCACAACCACCAUAAUGACAUUGAAAUGGCGUCAGAAAUUCAAAAGCAGAAAAAGGCCAAAGAAACUGAAACAACAACAAGAACAACAACGAAUAAAUGGAACAAACACUGCCCAAACAACAGCAAUUGCAAAUGAAUCAGCAACAACAACAACAACACCAACAACAACAACAAGAAAAACCAAAACAAAAACAAAAUUAUUCAGACUGAGGGAGGUCAUGGAACAUUGGCGGGAUCACAGCAAAUGGCAGUCAAAUGAACGCCACAAAACUGUCACACAAAUGUUACAAAUGCCAACAACAACAAGGACAACAACAGCAACAACAAGAAGGACAAGGACAGCAACAGCAACACAAUGUCAUGCAAUUAAGGCUUCCAGCUGUAGCAGCGACCAUUGUCAUUUGCCUCAGCUUCAGCUUCAACGUCAGCUUCAACGUCAACGUCAUCCAUUUGCGACGCUGACGUCAACGUCGACGCUGACUUUGCUGCUCUCGCUGGCCGCAACAGCAGCCAUUGCAGCCGCAACAGCAACAGCAGCAGCAGCGGCAACAGCAGCCGCCUCCACAUCGAAUGCCAUGCCGGUUGCUGCCAGUUUGCUUGGGUCAGGUGGCUCAGGCUCAGGUUCAGGUUGCUCCCUGUCCGAGUUUAAUUGCUCCAAUGGACGCUGCGUGCCGCUCAGCAAAUUCUGCAAUAACAACAACGAUUGCGGUGAUGGCAGCGACGAGCCACGCUUCUGCACACGUUGUAAUCGCACCUACUACGGCGAUAUUGGACAGACGUAUGCCCUGGAGCUGCAUCGACCCAAGCAGGAUCGGGUGCCGUUUGUUUGUGUGCUCACGUUCACAGCGGCGGGCGGCCAACAUGGCGACGUAGUGCAGGUCACAUUGGACAGCUUCACCAUCGGACGCUUCACCAGCUACGUGCACGAGGGCUGUCCCGAUGGCUUCAUGCAGAUUGCCGAAUCGGCACGCACCCCCAUCGGUGGCAUGUGGUGCGGCAGCUCGUGGGGACCCGUGCUCUUCUACAGCGAGACCAGGUCCUUGAUAUUCACCAUCAAGCUAAACAGACUGGCAAGGGAUCAAAGCGGCUACAACUUUGACUUUCGCAUUAGGUACAAGGUGCUGUCCAAGGACAGUUCCGUGACGCGCUACGGCGGCAUUAAGCUGGCAGAGCUUAACCAGUGGCACAAUCGAAGCAGUCUGCUCAGCCAACAGCAGCAGCAGCAACAACAACAGCAACAGGGAAGUCAGGAUGAUUUUACCAGCUCGAGCGGCGCUCGUUCGGAUCGUUAUGGUCAGGACUUUAGUUUGUUCAGCGCAUAUGCGAAUAAUAAAACCUUCAUGGACUCGCUGGAAAAACCGCUCAUCAAGGACGAACACAACUACACGGAACCCAAGUAUUAUUUGGGCGACCUCAUACCCGGCACAUAUUGUUCACGCAUCUUUAGCGACUGUGACAAGAAACCGUGUCGCCUGCAAUCGCCAAACUAUCCGGGCAUCUAUCCACGGAAUCUCACCUGCUACUAUGCUGUUCGACAGCACGAUGUGCCCCAUGGCAAACAUGCGCUGAUACUGGUCAAACAGCCCAAGGGGAAUCUGGUGUGGAUCUCGACACAGGAAACGGCGAACAGCAACAAAAUGUCCUCGGCAACAUCUGGCGGCGACAAGGAUAAGAAAUUUGAGCCGAGGCUGAAAACAUGGAACGACUGCGAUUACAUUCAGGAAAAUGUAAAACCCAAAUGGAAAUCAACGGACUACGUGACCGUAUACGAUGGCUACACCACACGUGACCCCAUCAUUUUGAAGUUCUGCGGCGGCGGUCAGGCUGUGCCCGCGGCUGUCUCCAGUGGCCCCGAGCUGUUGGUCGAGUUCAGCACGUCGCCGUUUGGCACCUUCACCGGCACCUCAUCGCAACUGCUGCCGCUCUACGGUUUCCAGCUGGAGGUUGAGGUGCAAUUUGUCGACAUACAAAGUCCAACGUACUCGAAGAACAAGAAACCCUGCGAGUUCUGGAUUCGAGGCGCUGGUCGCGGCAUUCUCGAGAAUCCCAAGCACUCGCUGGCUCCCAACUCGACGUGUCUCUAUCAUCUCCAAGGCAUGGGCGUCUUCAAGACCUUCGAUCAUCUGAGUUUGUCGCGUCGCACCAACAGUCCUUCGAGUAUGCAUCAACCGUUGUCCCGCUUCAAGGUCUGGAUCUCGGUGCUCAAGUUCAAUUUGGAUCCCGAGUUCGGGCAGAUCGAUGAGACUUCGGUGGGCGCCAUUGGUGUGCUGCAGACCCAGGAGGAUUGCAGCGGCAUGCUCCGCAUCUGGGAUGGAACGCUCCGCGACGCUCCAGUCUGCAAGGAUCUCAACUGCAUCAGUGAAACAAGCAGCUACUCCGCCUUGGGACACUAUUCGCACAACACCACGAAUGUCAUCGCUCGCUUUUGCCGAGGCACAAUUCCACGCACCUGCGACAGAUCAAACAUCAAUGAAACCUACGCGCGUCCCUGCACCAUCUCCGAAAGCUAUGUGUCCAGUAGCGAUGCUAUCACGCUCGAGCUACGCAACACCGAGUCCACAGUGCUCAGACCGCUGGACUUUAAACUAAAGUACGAGUUCAUUGAUCUGCAUCAGGACGGUUUGCCUCAAGGUGGCGGCGAACUCGACUGCAAUCGCAAGUUUGUCAGUAGCCUCAUGGAUCGCAAGGAUCCGGCCAUUUUCCGCAGCGUGCGGAACAUCUUUCUCUUUGGCCGAGGAGGCACUCGGCAUCUUAAGUGCGUCUAUCGCUUUGAGGCGUUGCGUGGCGAGCGAGUGAGAAUCAAGCUCCGUAAAGUGACCACGUCGAAUCGUCCUUGCUACGCACGUCUCGACGAGGACAUCAAUCGUUCCUUCUGCUACGGCGACACCAAUGUGCGAGUGGAGAUCUUUGAGCGUCCUUAUCCGGAUUCCAUAUUGUUGCAUCGCGGUUGCGUUUGCAACUCAUCGAAUCAGACGCAUUUGCCUGUGGAAUACACUUCAACAGGACGCGAUGUGGAGGUGCACUUCAUAGCGCACAACAUGACGACGCUGGAUGAUCCUGAUACGGCCAACUUCGAGGGAAUGUUUGAGUUCGUGAAGGCGCCAACCAGUUGCAAAGAUGGCAGACGCAAGUUCGGACCGAGUGGCACCAUUGACAUGACUUUUGGAGAUAUUGAAUGUCGCUCUCGACCCUGGUUGAUAGAACCUUCCAAUGGCAACAAGUUUCUGUAUGUGCGCCUCAAGGCCAUCUUUCUGAGCAGACACAAUCCGAAGAAGACGCUGAAUGCGACUUAUUUACAGACCAACAGUUGGUUGUGUGAAACAAAGUCACGCGUUGUGCUUACUACAUCGGAAGGUCUCACCAUUGUCGCCUGUCCGUUGAGUCCCGAUUCGAGUGCGUACGAGUUUGUGGAGAUCUUUAGCUCCGGCUGGAAUGAACGUCCCAAUUUUGCGCUCAUUAAUCGCUCCAAAGCCAUCAGCGUUGAGUUUCUGCGUCCCACGAAUGGCGAAUUCACCUUCAACUGGAUGGAGUUGGUGCCACGACCCACGCUCAGCAUAGCUGAGGAUUGUCAGUUCAAGUGUGCCGAGCUGGGCGCCUGUGUGAAUGCGAGCAUUUGGUGUGACGGCAUCCGGCAUUGUCCUUCCGGCGAUGAUGAGGCCUUCCUGCAGUGCUCCGCUCUGAUGAAACUACCCGCCGAAAUACUUGCCACACUCUGUCUCAUCUUUGUGCUCUCGUGUUGUGCAUUCGCCGCCUUUGCUUACAAGAAAAUCAAACGGAAACUUCGCGGUUCUUCGGUGCUGCAGACGCGACUCAAAUCGCUCAGUUCCAUGGAUACGGCGGUGUUGGAUGAAAAGGAGGUGAUUUGCUGACAAAGCGACAAUUCUGUGCGUUAUGUUGAGAUCGAUCGUGUGACCACGGUCUGAUGCUCGACGGCCCCUAACGUACAGAAUUGUGCCCCGGAACUGAAACUGAAAACAAAAAAAAUGAUACAGAAACUGAAACAGAAAAUCAAACAGAUAUCGAAGCGAAACGCAACAAGAAAAGGCAUCAAAAACCACAACCAAAACCAAAAACAAAACCAAAUCCAAAUCAAAAACCGAAAUCAAACUCGUUCACCUGUUUUUAAAAUGCAUUUAAGGAAGGAGAAAAAGAACCGCUAACGAAAUUGAGGAAAGAUUUUCAUUUCGUAUUUAAAACUCUGGUUUUUUUAACAUAUACUUAUAUAUAAAUCUAUAUAUUAUAUAUACAGAUAUUUGGUAGAUCUUGAUGAGGCAAAAUCCCCCGCGAGUUGAUCGCAAUUUUUAUAAGCAAUUUUUCUAGGCCUGAAAAUGAUUUUUUCAUAUAGCAUAUGAUGUAUGUGUGUGCGUUUUUUCUAUAUAAUUUCACGUGCUCAGUUGUUAUACGGUCGGAAUACUUAUUCCACACACUGUACAUAAGUAUACAGACGGAUAAAUGUGUAAUGUGUAGUGUUUAGUUCAAAUCAAUCAAAAAGAGAUGAUAUUCUAAUCAUAACUUCCAUUAGGUUUUUUUUUAUACAUAACGGUAUAACGUAAACGGAUUAAAACAAUUACUGAUGAUGACGCUCAUAGACCUAUGUAGAUACAACUGUUUCCUAAUAGCCUCUAAGUGAAGAAAAUUAACGUAACUAGCCAAUCGAAAGCUGACUAAGGAGAAGAAAACUCUUUCUCUUAUCGUAGUCCUCUUUCUACUUUUUUGUUUUUCGUUCUGUUCCAAGUAUUUUUGGGGGGGGCGUGAACUCCUCCCCCUACAGCAUUUAUUAUGCGGCGCACAAAAUAAAAAGUGAACUAAUCUAAAUACAAGAACAAAGUAAUAAGUAAAACAAAAAAAAGGAAAAACAAUUUAAUAAUAUACAGAAAUAAUCUCCCAACAAAAUAAAAUGUAGAAAAGAGCGCGAAAUGUCGUCGUCGUUGAGACCAAGGCUUGAAAUGGGGCGCAACAACAAACACAGCACAAAGACAGAGAGAGAGAGAGAGACAACUCAGAGAUCAAAGAUCAGGGACUCAUUCUCCUGAAGAGUGACGAGGCAAUGACAACAGUGACAAAUUCUCUAUCAAUAUUUUGUUUUUCAUUUUCCAAACAAUUGUAAAUAAACAAAUAGAGAUUCUUAAUUGUAUUUCAACAAUUUUACACUGAAGACUUUUAUUUCAAACAUAGCAUCAUUUUAUCUCUAAAUAUGUACUUGAGAGCGACAAAAAUGUUUUGAUAUUCGAAUCAAACGCAGACAAUAAAAAUUAUUGCAAAACAAAAACAAAAUGAACAAUAUAUACACAUUAUUGAUUUGGAAUGAUUAAUCGAGUAGUAAAAACACAGCUAAAGUACCACAAUACUUAAUACAUACUUAACUCUUAAGACUCUUCAGAUCGGAGUCGCCGAAUCAGAUCACUUCAAACGAUCAACUAAAAAUAAUUAAAUUAAUUAAUUACCAAAACAAAAAGAAACCAAAAAAAAAAACAUAUUAAAACUAUUUAUGUUGAGUUGACAUUAUAAACAAUUAGGCAAUUAUAUAUUACGAUAUACAUACAUACAUACACGCAUAUAUAUAUAUAUAUAUUAAUUAUAUAUUGUGUGCGCCGAUCUCACAAAAAUGGACUGAGGCUAACUGAAAUACUGGAAAGCGUACACAGAGAACCUGGAGAAAGAGGCUCAGACCACAAGACGAUGAGGUUAGAUUUUUAAAAUUACAAUUACAAAAUAAACAAAAGAAAACUAGUUUAAAUAUAAAAACAAUUAAUAAACCAAACAAAUCCAAAAAAAUAAAAACGUAAACCAACAUAAGCUAAAUUUCAAAAU